rnacentral:tRNA from 1 species
GGACCAUGGCUCUGUGGAAGAGUAUCUGCUCAGCAUGCAGAACAUUCCGAGUUCAAUCCCCAGCAUAUCCA